AGAUAACAAGUUAGCAGUAGCUAAACUUGAAGCAAAAGAUGUCAGGACCAGCCAGGUUCCCUGGGCAUCUCCUAAAAUAGAUACCAAAUGUGGGAAGAGUGGGAGCACAAGACAUCAGAACAAAAGUUUUCUUAGAAAGAUGAAACCUGGCCGCAUGUUGUGGAGCACGCCUUUAAUCCCAGCACUCAGGAGGCAGAGGCAGGUGGAUUUCUGAGUUCAAGGCCAGCCUGGUCUACAAAGUGAGUUCCAGGACAGCCAGAGCUACACAGUGAAACCCUGUCUCGAAAAACCAAGUAAACAAAACAAAACAGAACAGAUGAAACCUGGAUACCAUUUAAGAACUGGUGUUGGACUCAUACAGAGAAUGAGAAAAGAUAGCAAGGUAAGGAACACGUCAGAUGAUCUCAAGCCCUUGAAUGUCGGUUUAAGCCUGUUGACAAGCUGGAAUCUUGGAGAUUUGCUUAUCUCUGGAUCAGGCCUCCGUGCUGAGCAUCAUGGCCCUUUGUAACUGGCUGUGAUCCCUUUUUGGGACUUCAGAGUAAGACUGUGUCCUUUACUUACAACUGAAUGAUUCUGGGGCUUAAGUUCAUUCUCUUGAAAGGCAAGAUUUACCAAUCCUCUGGCCCUCCUUCAGAUGCCUAAGAAAUGAACACGUGAGCCAGACUGACCAAUCUUGUCCUGUUCCUGUUACCCCAGCCCGUGUUCCCCCAUCCCGCAGGGACUGAUUUGGAGAUGCGUGUCUGACUUAGGUCCACGGCCAGUCUGGCUCUUUCUGUGUAGCAGUGGGGUGAUAGGAGCCUCAAGUCGUCACCACUAGGGAGUUCUUUGCAAAGACUGAAGAGGAAACAAGGGAUGCAGAGCCCAGAGGUGAUCAGGAGAGUUCAGUUCAGGCACACUCAACUUUUGUACCAUGACUUGUCAUCUACAAAGUUCACAUCUAAGAACUGGACAACCAACCAAGUUACAAAAAAAGUACAAAAAAAGUUUAUGAUUUUUGUAUCGCUCUGCAUUCAUAGCUUACGUGGGAUAUGUACACCUAGACUCUAGAUAUUGUCAUGAAAGAUGUGAUUCUGGGCUUUUCAACCAUGUGAGACAAUAAUUUCCCUUACUCCUUUUGGAAGCAAGUUUAAAACUGAUUUGGAACAUAAUCGGUAGUACUCAAACUGUAUAUUAUUCCUGGAAAAAUUAAGUGGUAUUAAAGUAUGGCAGGGAGUACAGGUUCACAAAUACCAGGCAUGAUCACUUCCUUAUUCCUGUAUACAUUAGUGUUAUUUGAACCUCUGUACGGAUACUAUAAACUGUUUUAUAUAGAGAUAUGCAAAGCUGAAACAAUAAAAGUUUCCCAGGUUCAUCAAUGACAACUGAGGUCUCUCUCCACUAUAGACUAAAUGGUAAUAAACCUAGCACAUAGUAGGUGCUCACUACGUGUGGAUUCUCUUUUCUUUUGCUAUCCACUCACUAUUAAAACUAUACCGUGCUGUUCUGUUUUUGUGUUGUUAUAAUAAAAUUUCUGAAUCUUAUUGCUUUAU
rnacentral:lncRNA from 1 species